rnacentral:rRNA from 1 species
UACAGAGGGUGCGAGCGUUAUUCGGAAUUACUGGGCGUAAAGCGCGCGUAGGCGGCUUUGCAAGCCGGAUGUGAAAUUCCCGGGCUUAACCUGGGAACUGCAUUCGGGACUGCAUUGCUAGAGUAUGGGAGAGGGAAGUGGAAUUUCAGGUGUAGCGGUGAAAUGCGUAGAUAUCUGAAGGAACAUCAGUGGCGAAGGCGACUUCCUGGACCAAUACUGACGCUCAUGUGCGAAAGCGUGGGGAGCGAACAGG